GACGAACGCUGGCGGCGUGCUUAACACAUGCAAGUCGAACGGAAAGGCCCUGCUUUUGUGGGGUGCUCGAGUGGCGAACGGGUGAGUAACACGUGAGUAACCUGCCCUUGACUUUGGAAUAACUUCAGGAAACUGGGGCUAAUACCGGAUAGGAGCUCCUGCUGCAUGGUGGGGGUUGGAAAGUUUCGGCGGUUGGGGAUGGACUCGCGGCUUAUCAGCUUGUUGGUGGGGUAGUGGCUUACCAAGGCUCUGACGGGUAGCCGGCCUGAGAGGGUGACCGGCCACAUUGGGACUGAGAUACGGCCCAGACUCCUACGGGAGGCAGCAGUGGGGAAUAUUGCACAAUGGGCGGAAGCCUGAUGCAGCAACGCCGCGUGCGGGAUGACGGCCUUCGGGUUGUAAACCGCUUUCGCCUGUGACGAAGCGUGAGUGACGGUAAUGGGUAAAGAAGCACCGGCUAACUACGUG
rnacentral:rRNA from 1 species